AGAGCGAACGCUGGCGGCAGGCCUAACACAUGCAAGUCGAACGCCGUAGCAAUACGGAGUGGCAGACGGGAUAGUAACACGUGGGAACGCGCCCUUCGGUUCGGAAUAACUCAGGGAAACUUGAGCUAAAUACCGGAUACGCCCUUACGGGGAAAGAUUUAUUGCCGAAGGAACGGCCCGCGUCGGAUUAGCUAGUUGGUGAGGUAAUGGCUCACCAAGGCGACGAUCCGUAGCUGGUCUGAGAGGAUGACCAGCAUCACUGGGACUGAGACACGGCCCAGACUCCUACGGGAGGCAGCAGUGGGGAAUAUUGGACAAUGGGCGCAAGCCUGAUCCAGCCAUGCCGCGUAGAUGAUGAAGGCCCUAGGGUUGUAAAGUCCUUUUAACGGGGAAGAUAAUGACGGUACCGUAGAAUAAGCCCGGCUAACUUCGUGCCAGCAGCCGC
rnacentral:rRNA from 1 species